rnacentral:tRNA from 1 species
UGGGGAUUAGUCUAGCGGUAGGACGACUGACUCUGGAUCAGUUAGCGGGGGUUCGAAUCCUCCAUCCCCAGCCA